CAUGUCCUUUUGAAUUUUAUUUAAGGUCUAAUCUGCUCAAUGAGGAGUUAAAUUGCCGCGGUAUCUUGACCGUGCGAAGGUAGCAUAAUAAUUAGUUUUUUUAUUGAAAGCUGGAAUGAAUGAUUGGACGAGAAAAUAGCUGUCUCUGUUAGAAUUUUUUUUGAAUUUAACUUUUGAGUUAAAAGGCUUAAAUUUGAUUGAAAGACGAGAAGACCCUAUAGAGUUUAAUAUUUUUUUUAAUUAAAAAUUUUUGGGAUAAACUAUUUUUAUUGAAUUAAUUAUUUAGUUGGGGUGACUAGAAGAUUUAAUAAACUCUUCUAAAUUUUAAAUAUUGAUUUGUAGAUGAAUAUUCUGGGUUUUCCAAGUUUAAAAUUAAUUACCUUAGGGAUAACAGCGUAAUUUCUCUUUAGAGUUCUUAUUGGAAGGGGAGUUUGCGACCUCGAUGUUGGAUUAAAAUUAAUGUUGGGUGCAGUAGCUCAAUUAUUAGGUCUGUUCGACCUUUAAAAUUUUACAUGAUCUGAGU
rnacentral:rRNA from 1 species